rnacentral:snRNA from 1 species
AUACUCUGGUUUCUCUUCAGAUCGUAUAAAUCUUUCGCCUUUUACUAAAGAUAUGCGUGGAGAAGAACAUUUAUGAGUUUGUACCCAAAAAGUAGACUUCUUGUUAUUGACAUGCUU